GAUGAACGCUGGCGGCGUGCCUAAUACAUGCAAGUCGUACGGAAAGGCCCUUCGGGGUACUCGAGUGGCGGACGGCUGAGUAACGCGUGGGAACGUGCCCCAAAGUGAGGGAUAACGCACCGAAAGGUGUGCUAAUACCGCAUAUGGUCUUCGGAUUAAAGCUUCGGCGCUUUGGGAGCGGCCUGCGUACGAUUAGAUAGUUGGUGAGGUAAUGGCUGACCAAGUCGACGAUCGUUAGCUGGUCUGAGAGGAUGAUCAGCCAGACUGGGACUGAGACACGGCCCAGACUCCUACGGGAGGCAGCAGUAAGGAAUCUUCCACAAUGGGGGCAACCCUGAUGGAGCAACGCCGCGCGCAGGAUGAAGGUUUUCGGAUCGUAAACUGCUUUUAUAAGUGAAGAAUAUGACGGUAACUUAUGAAUAAGGAUCGGCUAACUACGUGCCAGCCGCCGCGGUAA
rnacentral:rRNA from 1 species